rnacentral:lncRNA from 1 species
CGAAUUUCCCUCCUAGACCGAAUUUUUUUAAAAAAACUGCUGAGCUUGAAAGAAAUGGAGGAAAUGUUAUUGAAAUUCAUUUCUAAAUUAUCCCUCCAACUUUCCACCUACAAAUAAAUCAAGAAACCCAAUUCAACCUCUCAUUCAGCAGAAAUGGAGUUGAAAAUUUGUUACUCUGAAAAUGAGGAUAAUAAAGAGAAUACCCCUCACCAAACUCUCCAGAAGAAAACGGCCCAGAUACUCGGAAACUCCAAUGUUGUACAAAGAGGAGGUUAAGGUUGCCUCUUAGGGAUGUCACCUACUUCUACAAUUCCUCAGUCCAAGUUCAAGGAUUUUCAGAUGCCCUCUACUAUUUCUGUUUCUUCCAUUACUUUGAAUAAUCGAAAACGAAAAGCUGCUGACGAGAAGAUUGAUUCAAUUCACAAGAUUCUGAGGAAAGAGUUUAGGUAGAUACGCUGGUCAUAAGGAAAAAAAAGAGGCAGAUGAAUUCGUUAUUCAUUUGAGAAUUUAGUGAAAUUAUCAAUUUUAUUCAUUAG